rnacentral:rRNA from 1 species
UGUUUCGGCAAGGGGGUCAUCCCGACUUACCAACCCGAUGCAAACUGCGAAUACCGGAGAAUGUUAUCACGGGAGACACACGGCGGGUGCUAACGUCCGUCGUGAAGAGGGAAACAACCCAGACCGCCAGCUAAGGUCCCAAAGUCAUGGUUAAGUGGGAAACGAUGUGGGAAGGCCCAGACAGCCAGGAUGUUGGCUUAGAAGCAGCCAUCAUUUAAAGAAAGCGUAAUAGCUCACUGGUCGAGUCGGCCUGCGCGGAAGAUGUAACGGGGCUAAACCAUGCACCGAAGCUGCGGCAGCGACACUAUGUGUUGUUGGGUAGGGGAGCGUUCUGUAAGCCUGUGAAGGUGUACUGUGAGGUAUGCUGGAGGUAUCAGAAGUGCGAAUGCUGACAUAAGUAACGAUAAAGCGGGUGAAAAGCCCGCUCGCCGGAAGACCAAGGGUUCCUGUCCAACGUUAAUCGGGGCAGGGUGAGUCGACCCCUAAGGCGAGGCCGAAAGGCGUAGUCGAUGGGAAACAGGUUAAUAUUCCUGUACUUGGUGUUACUGCGAAGGGGGGACGGAGAAGGCUAUGUUGGCCGGGCGACGGUUGUCCCGGUUUAAGCGUGUAGGCUGAUUUUCCAGGCAAAUCCGGAAAAUCAAGGCUGAGGCGUGAUGACGAGGCACUACGGUGCUGAAGCAACAAAUGCCCUGCUUCCAGGAAAAGCCUCUAAGCAUCAGGUAACAUCAAAUCGUACCCCAAACCGACACAGGUGGUCAGGUAGAGAAUACCAAGGCGCUUGAGAGAACUCGGGUGAAGGAACUAGGCAAAAUGGUGCCGUAACUUCGGGAGAAGGCACGCUGAUACGUAGGUGAAGUCCCUCGCGGAUGGAGCUGAAAUCAGUCGAAGAUACCAGCUGGCUGCAACUGUUUAUUAAAAACACAGCACUGUGCAAACACGAAAGUGGACGUAUACGGUGUGACGCCUGCCCGGUGCCGGAAGGUUAAUUGAUGGGGUUAGCGGUAACGCGAAGCUCUUGAUCGAAGCCCCGGUAAACGGCGGCCGUAACUAUAACGGUCCUAAGGUAGCGAAAUUCCUUGUCGGGUAAGUUCCGACCUGCACGAAUGGCGUAAUGAUGGCCAGGCUGUCUCCACCCGAGACUCAGUGAAAUUGAACUCGCUGUGAAGAUGCAGUGUACCCGCGGCAAGACGGAAAGACCCCGUGAACCUUUACUAUAGCUUGACACUGAACAUUGAGCCUUGAUGUGUAGGAUAGGUGGGAGGCUUUGAAGUGUGGACGCCAGUCUGCAUGGAGCCGACCUUGAAAUACCACCCUUUAAUGUUU